GAUGAACGCUGGCGGCAGGCCUAACACAUGCAAGUCGAACGAGUGGCGGACGGGUGAGUAAUGUCUGGGAAACUGCCCGAUGGAGGGGGAUCACUACUGGAAACGGUAGCUAAUACCGCAUACCAUCAGAUGUUCCCAGAUGGGAGUAGCUUGUUGGUGGGGUAACGGCUCACCAAGGCGACGAUCCCUAGCUGGUCUGAGAGGAUGACCAGCCACACUGGAACUGAGACACGGUCCAGACUCCUACGGGAGGCAGCAGUGGGGAAUAUUGCACAAUGGUCUCAAGCCUUAUGCAGCCAUGCCGCGUGUAUGAAGAAGUCCUUCUGGUUGUAAAGUACUUUCAGCGGGGAGGCGUUACCCGCAGAAGAAGCACCGGCUAACCCCGUGCCAGCAGCCGCGGUAAUAC
rnacentral:rRNA from 1 species